rnacentral:rRNA from 1 species
GGAGGGGGUUAGCGUUGUUCGGAAUUACUGGGCGUAAAGCGCACGUAGGCGGAUUAGUCAGUCAGAGGUGAAAUCCCGAGGCUCAACCUCGGAACUGCCUUUGAUACUACAUGUCUAGAGUUAGAUAGAGGUGAGUGGAAUUCCGAGUGUAGAGGUGAAAUUCGUAGAUAUUCGGAGGAACACCAGUGGCCGAA